rnacentral:rRNA from 1 species
GCUUACGGCCAUAUGAGCCUGGGUACGCCCGAUCUCGUCUGAUCUCGGAAGCUAAGCAGGGUCGGGCCUGGUUAGUACUUGGAUGGGAGACCGCCUGGGAAUACCAGGUGCUGUAAGCA